CAGCAGUGGGGAAUAUUGCACAAUGGGCGCAAGCCUGAUGCAGCGACGCCGCGUGAGGGAUGGAGGCCUUCGGGUUGUAAACCUCUUUUAUCGGGGAGCAAGCGAGAGUGAGUUUACCCGUUGAAUAAGCACCGGCUAACUACGUGCCAGCAGCCGCGGUAAUACGUAGGGUGCAAGCGUUAUCCGGAAUUAUUGGGCGUAAAGGGCUCGUAGGCGGUUCGUCGCGUCCGGUGUGAAAGUCCAUCGCUUAACGGUGGAUCCGCGCCGGGUACGGGCGGGCUUGAGUGCGGUAGGGGAGACUGGAAUUCCCGGUGUAACGGUGGAAUGUGUAGAUAUCGGGAAGAACACCAAUGGCGAAGGCAGGUCUCUGGGCCGUCACUGACGCUGAGGAGCGAAAGCGUGGGGAGCGAACAGGAUUAGAUACCCUGGUAGUCCACGCCGUAAACGAUGAGUGCUAGGUGUUGGAUCCUUUCCGGGAUUCAGUGCCGCAGCUAACGCAUUAAGCACUCCGCCUGGGGAGUACGACCGCAAGGUUGAAACUCAAAGGAAUUGACGGGGGCCCGCACAAGCAGUGGAGUAUGUGGUUUAAUUCGACGCAACGCGAAGAACCUUACCAAGUCUUGACAUCCCUUGACGAACAUAGAAAUAUGUUUUCUCUUCGGAGCAAGGAGACAGGUGGUGCAUGGUUGUCGUCAGCUCGUGUCGUGAGAUGUUGGGUUAAGUCCCGCAACGAGCGCAACCCUCGCCCUGUGUUGCCAGCACGUCGUGGUGGGAACUCACGGGGGACCGCCGGGGUCAACUCGGAGGAAGGUGGGGAUGACGUCAGAUCAUCAUGCCCCUUACGUCCAGGGCUUCACGCAUGCUACAAUGGCCGGUACAACGGGAUGCGACACUGUGAGGUGGAGCGGAUCCCUUAAAACCGGUCUCAGUUCGGAUUGGAGUCUGCAACCCGACUCCAUGAAGGCGGAGUCGCUAGUAAUCGCGGAUCAGCAACGCCGCGGUGAAUGCGUUCCCGGGCCUUGUACACACCGCCCGUCAAGUCAUGAAAGUGGGUAGCACCCGAAGCCGGUGGCCCAACCUUUUGGGGGGAGCCGUCUAAGGUGAGACUCGUGAUUGGGACUAAGUCGUAACAAGGUAGCCGUACCGGAAGGGGCGGCUG
rnacentral:rRNA from 1 species